rnacentral:lncRNA from 1 species
CUGUUCUCAAGGAGUAUACUUUAGACACAUAAGCUAGCAAUAAACAAACAGGAUGAUUUUAGCUCAUGACAGGGCUACACAGACAGUAACAGUGAUGAGAUAGAGUGAUGGGGAAGAGGUGCUUAAAAUGGGGUUGUCAGGAAAGGCCUCUGCUAACCACCAGAUCUCAUGGGCUCAUCUUGAGAUUUAACCCAGCAAACCUCUUCUGAGCCAGUUGGCACCACUGAUCUCCCUCCCCUCCUUUAAACUGUUGCCUUCCUUGAUUUCUGUGACAAGAUACUGGUGUCACUAUCUCCUUGUCUCCUCCUACUUCCAGCUCCCUCUUUCAGCCUUCUAUGCAGGCACAUCUUCUUUUGACCACCCAUUAAAUUCGCUGUUGGCCAGGACAACCAUCCCUCCUGGCGGCUGGAAAGAAAGCUCAAGUGACAUAGAGCUUCUCCAGGCUAGGACACAGGUCCACCUGGCUACCUAACACAUUAUUCAACACCAAGGAACAACUGAUCAAUAAGGUUAAGUGCCUAUACUGACUGCAAGGCAUGUUACACAGUGCAUAAAG